CACAACCUUCCUACAAGUGGGGAAUAGCCCAGAGAAAUUUGGAUUAAUACCCCGUAACAUAACGAUGUGGCAUCACAUUGUUAUUAUAGCUUCGGCGCUUGUUGAUGGGUGUGCGGCUGAUUAGAUAGUUGGCGGGGUAACGGCCCACCAAGUCUACGAUCAGUAGCUGAUGUGAGAGCAUGAUCAGCCACACGGGCACUGAGACACGGGCCCG
rnacentral:rRNA from 1 species